rnacentral:rRNA from 1 species
GACGAACGCUGGCGGCGUGCUUAACACAUGCAAGUCGAACGGAAAGGCCCUGCUUUUGUGGGGUGCUCGAGUGGCGAACGGGUGAGUAACACGUGAGUAACCUGCCCUUGACUUUGGGAUAACUUCAGGAAACUGGGGCUAAUACCGGAUAGGAGCUCCUGCUGCAUGGUGGGGGUUGGAAAGUUUCGGCGGGUGGGGAUGGACUCGCGGCUUAUCAGCUUGUUGGUGGGGUAGUGGCUUACCAAGGCUUUGACGGGUAGCCGGCCUGAGAGGGUGACCGGCCACAUUGGGACUGAGAUACGGCCCAGACUCCUACGGGAGGCAGCAGUGGGGAAUAUUGCACAAUGGGCGGAAGCCUGAUGCAGCAACGCCGCGUGCGGGAUGACGGCCUUCGGGUUGUAAACCGCUUUCGCCUGUGACGAAGCGUGAGUGACGGUAAUGGAUAAAGAAGCACCGGCUAACUACGUG